rnacentral:rRNA from 1 species
AUUGAACGCUGGCGGCAGGCCUAACACAUGCAAGUCGAGCGAGCGGCGGACGGGUGAGUAAUGUAUGGGGACUGCCCGAUAGAGGGGGAUAACUACUGGAAACGGGGGCUAAUACCGCAUACUAUCGGAUAACCCAUACGGGAUUAGCUAGUAGGUGGGGUAAAGGCUCACCAAGCCGACGAUCUCUAGCUGGUCUGAGAGGAUGACCGGCCCCCUGUGGACUUGGACACGGCCCAGACUCCCACGGAGGCAGUCGUGGGGAAUAUUGCGGCAGGGGGUCAACCCUGACGCAUCCAUGCCGCGUGAAUGAAGAAGGCCUUCGGGUUGUAAAGUUCUUUCGGUAGCGAGGCGUUAACUACAGAAGAAGCACCGGCUAACGCCGUGCCAGCAGCCGCGGUAAUAC